rnacentral:rRNA from 1 species
AUGGGGGCCAUUCUCCAUGGCCGCCAGCGUGCAGGGCGCACACGCCACCCCUGUGCAGUGCCGUUCACCGACCGGCCCAUGCGCGCACGCACGCAAGAAACCGCCUCGCCUCCUCGGGACAGCCUGAUCCCACCGAGUACCCCACCACCCGACCCACCACCUUCGAGACCAACGGUCCGGACGGUGGCGACUGCCGCUCAAUCGCGCGCUGACGUACGGCCUCGCUUACCCGGAGGAGGAGCAGAAAUUUCGCGGCGAUGCAUGGUGCCGGGAUCGUCCGUACGGGGCGCCAUCAUCAUGCAUGCAUGUGCCCCCCGCGACGUGUCGACCGGCGGGCGGGGCGCCGAUGGGCAUCCGACGGCCGGAGACGUUGCGCCCCGUCGCGUCAAGCCGUCGCGUGGCGUGGCGUGGCGGUGGCGGUGUGGUGUGACAUUACCUUUGACUGCGCUGCUGCUCUGCUCAUGA